GAUGAACGCUGGCGGCGUGCCUAAUACAUGCAAGUCGAGCGAACAGACGAGGAGCUUGCUCCUCUGACGUUAGCGGCGCACGGGUGAGUAACACGUGGAUAACCUACCUAUCAGACUGGGAUAACUUCGGGAAACCGGCGCUAAUACCGGAUAAUAUAUUGAACCGCAUGGUUCAAUGGUGAAAGACGGUUUUGCUGUCACUUAUAGAUGGAUCCGGGCGGCAUUAGCUAGUUGGUAAGGUCACGGCCUACCAAGGCAACGAUGCGUAGCCGACGGGAGGGGGGGAUAGCCGACCUUGGAGCUGAGACGCGGACCAGAGUACUACGGGAGGCAGCAGUAGGGAAUCUUCGGCAGCGGGGGGAAGCUUGACGGAGUGACGCGGAGCGAGAGAUGAAGGUGCUCGGUGCGUAAAGCUCUGUUAUGGGGGAAGAACAAAUGUGUAAGUAACUAUGGACGGCGUGACGGUACCUAAUCAGAAAGCCACGGCUAACUACGUG
rnacentral:rRNA from 1 species